rnacentral:rRNA from 1 species
UACGUAGGGUGCAAGCGUUGUCCGGAAUUAUUGGGCGUAAAGAGCUCGUAGGCGGUCUGUCACGUCGGCUGUGAAAACCCGGGGCUCAACCCCGGGCCUGCAGUCGAUACGGGCAGACUAGAGUGUGGUAGGGGAGACUGGAAUUCCUGGUGUAGCGGUGAAAUGCGCAGAUAUCAGGAGGAACACCGGUGGCGAAGGCGGGUCUCUGGGCCGAUACUGACGCUGAGGAGCGAAAGCGUGGGGAGCGAACAGG